UUAAUGAAAUUUGAGAUCUCAUAUUUGAGAUUUUUCCCUUAGAAUUUUGCAAUUCUUGUGAUAGAAUGCAUGUGAGCCAUUCAAUCUAACCUUGAUCAAGUUGAUUGUGGAGUGACUCAAUCUAGAGCAAGAUUUUUCAAUCUUGCUUCUAGAUCUUCGAUCAAGAGCAGUGAGCUUCACUCCUAAUUUCCUGUUGUUGAAGCUAUUCUUGAGUCCUACAACUCCUUCUAAAACUCCCAGAGGAUAGUGGGGAAGAUCUUGAGGUAGUUCACGAAAAGUUUUGGAGAAGACAACAGCUGAGUAUCAAGAUCUUGAAGAGUUAUACAAAGAGUUGAAACUAAGAUGUAAUUGAAGAAACAAGUGAAGAAGGCCGAGCUGAAGAUUCUAGUUUUUCAGCUUUUGGUCAAAUAUCAUUGUUGAGGUUUAAAUGCUAGAUGAUCAUCUAGCUCCAGGUGCUAAACGAUGUGAAGAAAAGUUAGAUGAUCGUGUAGCUACGGGUGCUGGUCAUUGUGAUAUUGUGUGCUAGACGAUCAUGUACUUACGGGAGCUAAGCGAUGCGUUGAAAUGUUAUACGAUAGCACUACACGAUCGUAUAGCUUUGCGUGAGAGCUAAACGAUGUGUUGAAGUGUUAUGCGAUAGCACUACACGAUUGUGUAGCUUUAUGCGCAUGCUAAAUGAUCAAGAAAAGGCACUAUGCGAUGGUGUUAAGCGAUCGUGUAGCUUUACUCGACACCAGACGAUGGCGAUAUACGAUAGUUGCAAGACAAUGGUGAUCGUGUAGCUCCAUCCGACACUAGACGAUGGCGAUACACAAUAGUUGGAAGACACUACACGAUCGUGUACCUCUGCCCGACACUAAAUGAUUAUGCUAAAUGAUAGUCUCCAGUGUUACACGAUCAGCCUUAGCGAGAUUUUGAGCAUAGAUGGAGAGCAGCCGAUUCGACUAGUUUUCUCGAGGUUCUAUCCGGUUCAGCCUUAAAGGGUUUUUGGUUGGUCCGGUUCAAGUUGCUUGGUUUCGGUUUUGAGCAGUUCGAGCAGUUUUGAAGCUGUUUUGUAAUAAUUA